CUGAGUCUGUGAUGAUUAAAGUUAUCCCUGUCUGAAGGCAAAGGCCUUUCUGUGUGGAUUGUGGAUCUCUGAAACUCAG
ensembl:snoRNA small nucleolar RNA, C/D box 1B